GUUUGAUCCUGGCUCAGGACGAACGCUGGCGGCGUGCUUAACACAUGCAAGUCGAGCGGUAAGGCUCCUUCGGGAGUACACGAGCGGCGAACGGGUGAGUAACACGUGAGCAAUCUGCCCUUCACUUCGGGAUAACUCCGGGAAACCGGUGCUAAUACCGAAUACGACCACUUCAGGCAUCUGAUGGUGGUGGAAAGUUCCGGCGGUGGAGGAUGAGCUCGCGGCCUAUCAGCUUGUUGGUGAGGUAAUGGCCCACCAAGGCAACGACGGGUAGCCGGCCUGAGAGGGCGACCGGCCACACUGGGACUGAGACACGGCCCAGACUCCUACGGGAGGCAGCAGUGGGGAAUAUUGGACAAUGGGCGAAAGCCUGAUCCAGCAACGCCGCGUGAGGGAUGACGGCCUUCGGGUUGUAAACCUCUUUCAGCGGGGACGAAGCGAAAGUGACGGUACCCGCAGAAGAAGCACCGGCCAACUACGUGCCAGCAGCCGCGGUAAUACGUAGGGUGCGAGCGUUGUCCGGAAUUAUUGGGCGUAAAGGGCUCGUAGGCGGUUUGUCGCGUCGGGAGUGAAAACUCAGGGCUUAACCCUAAGCCUGCUUCCGAUACGGGCAGACUAGAGGUAUGCAGGGGAGAACGGAAUUCCUGGUGUAGCGGUGAAAUGCGCAGAUAUCAGGAGGA
rnacentral:rRNA from 1 species